GUCUGUCUGUCCCUGCCCCUCCCCCCAUUGUCUCCCUGUGUCCCAUGCCCCCACUCCAUCUGCACCCCACCCUUGCUGGCCCUGCUGGGUCUCCUCGCCAUCACCCUUUAUUCCCUUUACUUGGAACCCCUCCCCCUGGAACCAGAUCCCCACCUUGGGUCCUAUAGGCGGCAGUGGCUACCUCACCCCCUGCCCCUCCAUGCGAGAGACUCUCCUAAGGACCAGUCCUGCUUCAGUCUGUCUUCUUUCUCCACCUAAGAUUGCCACCUAAUAUUUAGUUUUAAUUUGAUUUUAAUUUUCUAAUUUUUUUUAAAGUACAGUUAUUUUGCCUGCACAUCUGUCUGUGCGCUGUGUGUGCAUUACCCAAGGAGGCCAGAAGGGGGCGGUAGAACCCUGGGGACUGCAGUUAUAGAUGGGUAUGAAAGUCCAUGUGGGUGCUGGGAAUCGAACUGUAGUCCUCCAGAAGAGCAGCUAGUGCUCUUAACUGCUGAGUCAUCUCUGCAGAUGUGGAGAUGGCUGUGCAUAUAUGGUUUAACCACAAGGCCGAGGUCUAAAGAAGGGGACAUGGUUUUGGUGUCACUAGGGUUUGGCAUAUCCCUGACACCCUGGAAUCACGGCGUUAUAUUCUGAGGAUAUUAGGAGACAGACAUGGACACUCUCAGGUUGGGGGGCCAUUGGCAGGCUUGGGGAAGGCCUUCAGGGAGUUAUUGCCCCAAUUCUAGGAGGGGCCGGGCGUGAGGAUGAGGAGGCGGAAGCUGCAGAGACGGGCUAAGGAUCCUGGCUCUUUCCAGGGACACAGCAGCCGGGGGAUUAGCCAUGCAGGAAAGCAGCUUAUAGAUGGUAUCAGUCACAGGGAGGUCUGGCUUGGGAAGCACUUCAUGCUUGGGGCAACAGGGGCCUGGACUUGCGACUUAAGCUACAGGGAGCCCCUGAAGUGUUGCACGCAGACAUGAUCCGAUUUGUAAUUGAGAAAGAUCUCAGCAGCUGGUGUGCAGGGGGCAGCCAGGAGGGACCCUGAGACCAGCCAGAGCAACUUGUGCACCAUGGCAUACGUGUGUGCAAGUGGCGGUCGGUUCUUUCCUGUCGUAUGAAUUCCAGGGACCAAACUCAAGUCGUCAGGAUUGGCAGUGAGCGUCUUAACCCGAGGGGCCAUCUUACUUACCCCUCGUAGGACAGUGUGAGGGGCUGUGGCAAGGUGAGAGCCGCACGCCAAAUCACAAAGCAGGGGCUUUGGUUUCCGAAUCCACAGUUGGCAGAGGAAUCUAAGCCAGGAAGUUCAGGUACUUUUCUCUGACCUCACAGCAGCCCGACCUAAAAAGCAGAGACGCCCCCAAGACUUGCUGUCUUACCGUGGCUUCAGCCCAUGGAGCCAAGGGGGCUUGGUGAGGCUGGAUUAAGGCAGAGUCACAGAGGCAAGGCGAGGGUUACGUUAGGGUUAGGGUAUAUGGAGGAGGAGCAGGAGAGGUCUCUCCUUGCAGAGGGGACCAUGCCUCGGCUCUAGAAUGGCAAAUAGAACCUGGGUCGUCUUCCUGGAUCCAGUGGACUGGAGAUCUCUAGUCAGUGUCAGUAAGUGGGGUAUUAGGUGGGGUGUUCUACCCCAAUCCGAGAGUGCAGGGCUUGACUCGGUACCUGAGUUCUUUUCAACACACAAAAAAGCAAGUGGGGGCACUCUUCAGAGACCUGUGGGACUUCACAGGGCGCCCCUCCCUGCUAACCCAGGGGGUGGGUUAGCUGGGUCUGUGCUAUCAGGAUUUGACACUAGAUGCCUGUGAUCAUUCACAGAAUGGCGGAGGCCCAGGAAUUUCUUUACGGCUGCUCAGGUGUUCCUAAACCACAUCCUAACCCCUAACCUUAGCCUUAAACCUUCACCCUAACCUCCAGCAUGAACUGUGGCCUCUAGCCUUGUGUCGAUUUUAAUUGUGAGCCUAAGACAGUCUAGAAUCACCCUGGAGAAGGGGGUUCUUCCCCUGAGGAAUUGUCCAAAUCAGUGGACCUGUAGGGGUGGGCGCUGUCUUGAUUAUGUUAAUGUGAGAGGAUCCACCUACUGUGGGCGGUGUCAUUCCCUAAAAAAGGGUAUCUUGGACUCUGAAUACAGUGGAGACAGCUAGCUGAACACAGGCUUAGUUAUGUUAAUUAUGUGAGAGGAUCCACCCACUGUGUCAUUCCCUAGAGUACAGUGGCUGCUUCAGGUUCAUGCCCCUCUGGGCUCCCCACAAUGGCCAUGGAAAGCAAAUAACCUCCCUUCCUUUUAAAUUGCUUUGGUCAGGGUGUUUUAUCCCAGCCACAGAAAGUGGAAUGAAGAUGCCUUCCCCAGAGCUGUAAACUCUAACCCUAACCCAAACCACGCCUUACCCUCACACCUUAGCCAGAAUGCUAACUCAAACCCUAAAUCCUGACCCUAAGACUAUCAUAGACCCUAACCUUAAAUCUGAAUGCAGCCUGGAGCCACUGACCCUGACUCAAAGUCAAGCCCUAGCCCAUGUUCUCCUCCUAGCCUAGGCUCAGAGCCUAACCCAACUGGCCUCUCACCACUAACCCAGUCCUAACCCUUAAAGCCUUAACUUAAACCCCAGCUCUAAUGUUAAACUCUAAUGCUAACUGACCCCCAACCCUAGCAGAUCCCCUGGCACAAAGUCAUAACAACAAUGGCUAUGCCACAGGCCACUUGCACAGGGUCCCAUAUUGUCAUGUGAACUUCCUAUCGACCUUCUAAGGACAGGCUGCUCCCUGUCUCUCACUUCUCCUUCCUAGGUGUCUGACUGGCCCCAUCUCCUGGCUUGCCUUGUGGCUAAGUGUGUAUGUGUGUGUGUCACCUUGUCACUUAUGGGAGCUGGGCAGGGGCAUAGGGAGCCAUUUCAGGCAGGACCUUAAGCGUGUGGCUGAACUUCUUUCUCAUCCCUUCUCUCUGCCAAUGGCACCCCUGGGACUCUGGUGGUGGAGACGCAGUGAGAGCCGUGAAGACAGUGGUGGGGCGUUGGAAAACUCUGUUCCUAAGGUUGAAGUCAACAUUACCAGAAAGCUCUGAGCUCAGUACAAAGUGGCAGACUCCCUUUGUCAACAGGGCUUCCUCUUCUCUCUACCUGGGGAUCCUGGACCUCACACCCCCUUCCUGAGGAAUGUCACGUUGCCCUUAGGAAAAUUACAGGUCCAACUCCCUUUCCCGGAUAACAAACCCAUCCCACAAGCACUUGAGAUUCCUGGAUAUGCUGCCCCAUGCUAAUGAGGUAUCUCAGUACCUUAGCCUUCAGCCAGUGAGUGACCUUUGUCCACCCUAGAUAUUCUGACUCCCUCCCCAAACUGUUAUAUAAACACUGUUCACCCUGAAUAAAAUUGAUCUGCCUUUCUGA
rnacentral:sRNA from 1 species